UUGAGGUGGGGGGGGGGCAGAGCGAGAUGAUUAGCCAGCUGAGCUGCUUCGAUGAUUUUUGAGGCUGUUUCAGCCGUUAGACCCCUGGCUUCCCCUUGGAUCACUCUACAUUUCCUGGAUGCACUCUCUACUGGAUCUACACAGCUAAUAUACUGCACUGUUACGUCUCUAAGCUCGCCCAAGACCUCAUCUGUAGUAGGGAUUGGAGGAGGGGGUGGUGGUGUGACUUCAGUGGUUGACAUGGUUCUUUCCAAGGGUGGUCGUCGUGUUCUUGAGUUCUCAGACGCCUCAGGUAGAGUUUGAUGGUAUCCUUUCUCUCGGGUUCCUGCUUCCCAUAGCGUGGUCUUUUGAAGAGAAGGAUCGUCUGGAAUAGCUUUCACCAUGUUUCCUGUGACCAUAAUGGUAGUCACUAGGAGAUGUUUGGGAGGAUCUCCUACUUCUCGUCGGGCUGAGUCUUUUUCUGUGGUCAGAGGGGGAAGCACUCGAGAAACCACGAUUCUCAGAUAUGUUCUCCUUUGUAGAGGGAGCACAGAAAUUAUUACUCGGUGUAUAAUAGUUUCUUCGCACUUCAGGAUGCCAGAAAUGUUUAGGGAGACCUUGGAUCUCCACCCAGAAGGGAAUCAUAGAAGGAAAAGUCUCGGAGAUGAUUGGUUCCCACUUUAGGUACUGAGGGAUUUUGUUAUUCAUGGCUUACAGGGGGAUAAGAUCAAGACAUAUUUAAACAGGUUAGGGUUUAAGGGUUACUCACUCAGGGGUGAGAUUUUUCGAAGAGUUGAACAGGGUUACAAAUAGUAGAUAGGGUUACAAAUACAAAAACUAAGAGGGAGUACGAUGAACCAUACCAGCGCUUGGGGGAGUAUCAGUCUGGCAGGAGUAGUGGUUCGUCGGAGCAUAGAUUGGGGGGAAGGGAAACGGGACUUUCAGACCGGAGGGAAGGCAGGGACCGCUGGGUAUUUCUUGUGUAUCGAAAGAUCCAUUGGAUAUUGCUUUUUUUUAGUUAGGUCUGGUAGGUGAGAUCCGGUUUUUUGAAACCUCCAUGCAGU